rnacentral:rRNA from 1 species
CCUACGGGAGGCAGCAGUGGGGAAUAUUGGGCAAUGGAGGAAACUCUGACCCAGCGACGCCGCGUGCGGGAUGAAGGCCUUCGGGUUGUAAACCGCUUUCAGUAGGGAAGAAGCGAAAGUGACGGUACCUACAAAAGAAGCACCGGCUAACUAUGUGCCAGCAGCCGCGGUAAUACAUAGGGUGCAAGCGUUGUCCGGAAUUAUUGGGCGUAAAGAGCUCGUAGGUCGUUUGUUACGUCGGAUGUGAAAACCUGAGGCUCAACCUCAGGCCUGCAUUCGAUACGGGCAAACUAGAGUUUGGUAGGGGAGACUGGAAUUCCUGGUGUAGCGGUGGAAUGCGCAGAUAUCAGGAGGAACACCAAUGGCGAAGGCAGGUCUCUGGGCCAAUACUGACACUGAGGAGCGAAAGUCUGGGGAGCGAACAGGAUUAGAUACCCUGGUAGUCCAGACCGUAAACGGUGGGCACUAGUUGUGGGAACCUUCCACGGUUUCUGCGACGCAGCUAACGCAUUAAGUGCCCCGCCUGGGGAGUACGAUCGCAAAGAUUAAAACUCAAAGAGUAUGGCGNGUUGAGAGNGACGACGCGACGACGAGGAGGAG